UUUUUGAGACAGAUGCUCAUGUAUUCUAGGGUCAUCUCAACUCACUGUGUAGCCAAGAAUGAACUCUGAACUUUUCAUCUUCCCACCUCCACCUCCUGAAUUGCUGGGAUUACAGGUAUGCUCCCACAUACACACCCUAGGCCAUCCUCCUGACUCAGCCUCUCCAGGGGUAGGAUUAUAGGCUGCACCACUCUGAUAGACUGGCACUGAGAUUUUGUUCAUGCAACCUAUAUUCAAGGUUCAGUGAGCAUGAAUGCAUUGAGCCCUGGGGUUACUAAAAAGGACCCUCCCCUUCAGAAGCUAACAUUUGAGGGAGGGACAAAUAAACCAGAUCAUUUGUAAAUGAGCUCAAGUAAUAACCAAGCACAGGCCAGGACAGGCAGGGUAUGCAAUUUUGUCUUACGACCUUCUCCAGUUCCCUACAGAAUAGCAGAAAGGGGAACAGGUAGGAGAGAUUGUUUGUGCAGCUUCAAUGAGCCAGCAAGAACUAGUCUGGAACUUGUUUCUUCCAUGACCAGCUUCCCACAUCCCAAGGACAUCCCUCAAGCAGUCUGUCUACUACUGGAAAAAGAAAUAAAAAUAUGAAACAGGAGAGUCAGCCACACAAACCAGAGUCCAGCAAGCUCCAGCAUCCCUCGACAGGCCAUCAGUAUAAGUAAUCAAGAGAGGUCCUUGCUCAGAGCUGGAGAACCAGAAAAUGGGGACCGAGCCUGUCCCUCAUGCUCAGUCUAAUGGGAAAGAGCGAUAGAUUCCUAGUCAGCUGCAAGACGGUGGUAGAUACUGCAGUCAACAAGCCAAUUUGUAAGGUUGUGUGACCAUCUAGCACAGCUAUCUAAUUCCAGAGCACUUUCAUCAUUGCAAAAAGAAAUCCUAUUCCCACCAGCAGUUACUUCCCAUGUCCCCUCUCCUCUCAGCCCCUGGCAGUCACUACUAUACUUUCUGUCUCUAUAGGUUUGCCUGAACAUCUGAACAUCUCAAAUAAAGGAAAUCAUCCAA